rnacentral:tRNA from 1 species
GCCCGGUUAGUCAAGCGGCAAAGACACUGCCCUUUCAAGGCAGUAACGAAAGUUCAACUCUUUCACCGGGCG